UUGAGAUUGAGGUCCCCUAGUGAUCAAAAUCAUACUCUUGUCUUGUAUAUGCGUCGUCUCAAUCCUCUGUCUGACCGGCGAGAACUAUGCGCACGAUUUGAAAAGAAAAAGCUCUAAUUCAGAUCAGAUCAAAUAACAGCGCGCGAUUGGAUCGGAAUGAGUUCUAGCAAGUAUUAACUGUUUAAUACUUAAUUUCUUGGGAUUAAACAAGAGUAGCUACGACGCCACGGCAAAGAGCAAGCUGAGAGGAAAUAAAGCAGCACGAAAUGAUAAAUAGAUGGAUGAAGUCGGUCAUGGUGAUAGAUUUAUAACUUCAUAUUCAGUAUGAUUAUAUAUAUGUGCAUGACAUUAUUAUGGUUUAUACGUACAAGCAGCGAGGAACCAGAUCUAUUAAAGAGUUGAUGAUCAUCUUAUCAUUUUUUUUUCCUACUGAAAUCCCUGAGCUUCACAUUAAGUCCCCGAGUCCAGACCCCUAUUCUCUUGCCUAUUGUUUUCCUUGUUGUUUUGAUGUUAUGAUUCUAUGCAAAAACGUUGUAUAAAAUUAUAAAAUGGUUUGACCCAAAAGAGGUUUCUUUAA